AAUAAAUAAAUUUAAGGAUAUACAGCAAAUAUUAUUAUUGAUAAUAAUGUUUGAUUUUCUUGUCUUCUUAUUGUCUUCUUUAGCUUUGUUUGCUGUACCUAAAAAUUACAAAUUGGUAGCUGCACCUUUAUUCGAAUUAUAUGAUAAUUCCCAGGGUUAUGGACCAAUUAUAUCCUCACUGCCGCAAGCGCUAUGCAGAUUUAAUUUUAUAUAUAUGUGAGUAGAGGAUGCCUCUACCACCACUACUGCGCCUGCGUAUCUACUGCAUAGCUCUUAUCCCAAUCGAGCUAUAGCACAUCACCGGCCAGAAGAUGCGGAAAACUAUGAAGAUUAUAUGGACACGAAUUUGUUGCACCACACGGCAAAUGUCCAUAAUUUUUGAACAUUUCAAAUUUAUUUAUACUAUAAAAAAAAACAACAACAACAACAAGAAAUACAAUUGUUUAGUUAUAAAAUAAAUUCCAAAUUAUUUAGAUUUUAUAAAUAGAAAGCAAAACAAACACACAAUAAAGCGACUAGUAAACAUAUUA